GUACUUGCUUCAGCAGCACAUACACUAAAACUGGAAUGAUGCGGAGAAGAUUAGCACGGCCCCCCGGCGCAAGGAUGACAUGCAAAUUUGCGAAGCAUUCCAUGUUUUA